UCCCUCUCCUUUUCUCGCUCCCCCCUCCUUCCCUCCCUCCCACCACACCACCCCCCGUGAAAUCCUGGCACCCAGAGAGAGCUCUUUUCAGCCAGAGCCCAGAACCAGCCUUGGUCCCCUGGCAAAAGAGGCCUGGUGCCCAGCUCUGGGCAAGUGACUCCAGACAGUGCUGCCCCUCCUCCCCAGUACUCGCCUUUCCCUGCAGAAACCAUUUCCUUUUGCCAACAAAACUAGGUUGCAUCCAAAAGUUUCUCACAAGCUUAAAAGGAAAAGAGAGAAAUUGACAACCAUUACUGCAGAAGAAUUCACAAAAGCUGCAAGCAACACCAGGGGCAAAGCAGCAAGCGACAGACCCAGGGUGCAUGUGCUCUGGGGUCUGGAGAGUCUCUGCUGCUGUCAAAGUGGGCCAAGCAUUCAGACUCGGUCUUCUCUGCCCCCAACUUCUGCCUAUCUGAUAGAAAGGGUUAAAGUGAGGGUGUGACAGGCUGGCUGGGGAGGUGCAGAGGGGUGAAUGCCCCCUCAGGGACUGGCAAGUCUGCUCUGCCAGGGUUCCUAACAGGGAUCUCCCACUUCACCUAUUCCCUGCCACCUUAGAAGGGGGAGACUUUGUUUUCUGACCAAAAAAAAA